CGCGUAGGCGGUCUCGUUAGUCAGAUGUGAAAGCCCGGGGCUCAACCCCGGAAGUGCAUUUGAAACUAUGAGACUUGAGUAUGGGAGAGGGAAGUGGAAUUCCUGGUGUAGAGGUGAAAUUCGUAGAUAUCAGGAGGAACACCGGUGGCGAAGGCGACUUCCUGGACCAAUACUGACGCUGAGGCGCGAAGGCGUGGGGAGCAAACAGGAUUAGAUACCCUGGUAGUCC
rnacentral:rRNA from 1 species